CGAACGGGUGAGUAACAUAUCGGAACGUACCGAGCAGUGGGGGAUAACUAAUCGAAAGAUUAGCUAAUACCGCAUAUCUUCUGAGGAAGAAAGCAGGGGACCAUUUGGCCUUGCGCUGUUUGAGCGGCCGAUAUCUGAUUAGCUAGUUGGUGGGGUAAAGGCCUACCGAGGCGACGAUCAGUAGCGGGUCUGAGAGGAUGAUCCGCCACACUGGGACUGAGACACGGCCCAG
rnacentral:rRNA from 1 species